UGACGAGGAAAUAUUACGAACACCAUACACUUUCUUUACAUAGUUGAUCAAACUCGUGUUCAUCUGGAUAAUGUGGAAAACUUGGGAAUUUUCAUAGAAUUAGAGGUUUGCUUGAGAGAACACCAAUCAGUGGAAGAAGGAAAGACUAUUGCCAAUUUCUUGAUGAAACAACUCGACGUAAAAGACGAGGACCUAGUUUCACAUUCUUACAUCGAUAUGCUAACUGGAACAAAUUAACCUCCCACUUUCUGGAAAUAUAUCGGAUCAGCAGAAUAUUACGAUUUGUGAAUAAAGAAGGGAGCAUCUUUCAUUUAAAACAUUAUGUUCAAACCUUAAUUUUUCUCCCUGAUGAAACGUUCUAAUACAAUAAAAAUUAUCAGAAAUGUGUUGUGAUCAUUUACAGUUACAUUCACAGGUAUAGUCGUUGCUACAACGCCAUCUAAUUUUUAGUUUUGCCUUAUAACAUUCUGUUAAGAGAUUUGUCAUAUCAGAAUGAUUUGUGUUUUUAUUUUUAAAGAAUAAAACAUAAGAUAAAUAAAAUAAAACUUGAAACUAA